GAACGCACAUUGCGCCCCUUGGUAUUCCAUGGGGCAUGCCUGUUCGAGCGUCAUUUUUAUCUUCAAGCUUUGCUUGGUGUUGGGUGUUUGUCCUGCUCUAUGCGUGGACUCGCCUUAAAUCAAUUGGCAGCCGGCAAUCUGGUGUUAAGAGCGCAGCACAUUGUGCGCUCCUCGCUGUGUAUUGCGGCGUCCAUUAAGCCUAUAUUUUUUGCUCUUGACCUCGGAUCAGGUAGGGAUACCCGCUGAACUUAAG
rnacentral:misc_RNA from 1 species